rnacentral:rRNA from 1 species
UCUGGGACAAGCCCUGGAAACCUUUUAUAAUACCGGAUAAUACUGUGCCCCUCAUGGGGGACGGUUGAAAGCUCCGGCGGUGCAGGAUGAGCCCGCGGCCUAUCAGCUUGUUGGUGGGGUAAUGGCCUACCAAGGCGACGACGGGUAGCCGGCCUGAGAGGGCGACCGGCCACACUGGGACUGAGACACGGCCCAGACUCCUACGGGAGGCAGCAGUGGGGAAUAUUGCACAAUGGGCGAAAGCCUGAUGCAGCGACGCCGCGUGAGGGAUGACGGCCUUCGGGUUGUAAACCUCUUUCAGCAGGGAAGAAGCGAAAGUGACGGUACCUGCAGAAGAAGCGCCGGCUAACUACGUGCCAGCAGCCGCGGUAAUACGUAGGGCGCAAGCGUUGUCCGGAAUUAUUGGGCGUAAAGAGCUCGUAGGCGGUCUGUCACGUCGGGUGUGAAAGCCCGGGGCUUAACCCCGGGUCUGCAUUCGAUACGGGCAGACUAGAGUGUGGUAGGGGAGAUCGGAAUUCCUGGUGUAGCGGUGAAAUGCGCAGAUAUCAGGAGGAACACCGGUGGCGAAGGCGGAUCUCUGGGCCAUUACUGACGCUGAGGAGCGAAAGCGUGGGGAGCGAACAGGAUUAGAUACCCUGGUAGUCCACGCCGUAAACGUUGGGAACUAGGUGUUGGCGACAUUCCACGUCGUCGGUGCCGCAGCUAACGCAUUAAGUUCCCCGCCUGG